GAUGAAGAAUGUAGCGAAAUGCGAUAAGUCGUGUGAAUUGCAGAAUUCAGUGAAUCAUCGAAUCUUUGAACGCACAUUGCGCCCCUUGGUAUCCCGAGGGGCAUGCCUGUUCGAGCGUCAUUUCACCACUCAAGCCUGGCUUGGUGUUGGGCGACGUCCCCUUUGGGGACGCGCCUCGAAACGCUCGGCGGCGUGGCACCGGCUUUAAGCGUAGCAGAAUCUUUCGCUUUGGAAGUCGGGGCCCCGUCUGCCGGAAGACCUACUCGCAAGGUUGACCUCGGAUCAGGCAGGGAUACCCGCUGAACUUAAGCAUAUCAAUAAGCGGAGGA
rnacentral:misc_RNA from 1 species